AUUGAACGCUGGCGGCAGGCCUAACACAUGCAAGUCGAGCGGAUGAAGGGAGCUUGCUCCUGGAUUCAGCGGCGGACGGGUGAGUAAUGCCUAGGAAUCUGCCUGGUAGUGGGGGAUAACGUCCGGAAACGGGCGCUAAUACCGCAUACGUCCUGAGGGAGAAAGUGGGGGAUCUUCGGACCUCACGCUAUCAGAUGAGCCUAGGUCGGAUUAGCUAGUUGGUGGGGUAAAGGCCUACCAAGGCGACGAUCCGUAACUGGUCUGAGAGGAUGAUCAGUCACGCGGGAACUGAGAGACGGUCCAGACUCCUACGGGAGGCAGCAGUGGGGAAGAUUGGACAAUGGGCGAAAGCCUGAUCCAGGCAUGCCGCGUGAGUGAAGAAGGUCUUCGGAUGGUAAAGCACUUUAAGUUGGGAGGAAGGGCAGUAAGUUAAUACCUUGCUGUUUUGACGUUACCAACAGAAUAGGCACCGGCGAACUUCGU
rnacentral:rRNA from 1 species